AUUGAACGCUGGCGGCAGGCCUAACACAUGCAAGUCGAGCGAGUGGCGGACGGGUGAGUAAUGCUUGGGAAUCUAGCUUAUGGAGGGGGAUAACUACGGGAAACUGUAGCUAAUACCGCGUACCAUAGGAUGAGCCCAAGGGGGAUUGGGUAGGCGGGGGGGUAAAGGCUCACCUAGGCGACGAUCUCUAGCUGGUCGGAGAGGAUGAUCAGCCAAACUGGGACUGCGACACGGCCCAGACUCCUACGGGAGGCAGCAGUGGGGAAUAUUGCACAAUGGGCGCAAGCCUGAUGCAGCCAUGCCGCGUGUAUGAUGAAGGCCUUAGGGUUGUAAAGUACUUUCAGCGGGGAGGCGUUACCCGCAGAAGAAGCACCGGCUAACUCCGUGCCAGCAGCCGCGGUAAUAC
rnacentral:rRNA from 1 species